UGGGGAAUUUUGGACUAUGGGCGCAAGCCUGAUCCAGCAAUGCCGCGUGCAGGAUGAAGGCCUUCGGGUUGUAAACUGCUUUUGUACGGAACGAAAAGACUCCUUCUAAUAAAGGGGGUCCAUGACGGUACCGUAAGAAUAAGCACCGGCUAACUACGUGCCAGCAGCCGCGGUAAUACGAAGGGUGCAAGCGUUACUCGGAAUUACUGGGCGUAAAGCGUGCGUAGGUGGUGGUUUAAGUCUGCUGUGAAAACCCUGGGCUCAACCUGGGAAUUGCAUUGGAGACUGCAAGGCUAGAAUCUGGCAGAGGGGGGUAGAAUUCCACGUGUAGCAGUGAAAUGCGUAGAUAUGUGGAGGAACACCGAUGGCGAAGGCAGCCCCCUGGGUCAAGAUUGACGCUCAUGCACGAAAGCGUGGGGAGCAAACA
rnacentral:rRNA from 1 species